GGGCACGACACCGGAGAGGGAGCCUGAGAAACGGCUACCANANNCAAGGAUGGCAGCAGGCGCGCAAAUUACCCAAUCCCGAAANGGGGAGGUAGUGACAAUAAAUAACAAUACGGGGUUCUUUCGGAUCUCGUAAUUGGAAUGAGUACAAUUUAAAUCUCUUAACGAGGAACAAUUGGAGGGCAAGUCUGGUGCCAGCAGCCGCGGUAAUUCCAGCUCCAAUAGCGUAUAUUAAAGUUGUUGCAGUUAAAAAGCUCGUAGUUGAAUUUCGGGAUCAAAUUGUCGGUCGUGCCUUGGUACGCACUGGCAUUAUUGGUCCCUACCUUCUGAAGAACCGCGAUGUCAUUAAUUUGGUGUCGUGGGGAAUCAGGACUGUUACUUUGAAAAAAUUAGAGUGUUUAAAGCAGGCGCACGCUUGAAUACAUUAGCAUGGAAUAAUGAAAUAGGACGUUUGAUUCUAUUUUGUUGGUUUCUAGGAUCGACGUAAUGAUUAAUAGGGAUAGUUGGGGGCAUUAGUAUUCAAUUGUCAGAGGUGAAAUUCUUGGAUUUAUUGAAGACUAACUACUGCGAAAGCAUUUGCCAAGGAUGUUUUCAUUAAUCAAGAACGAAAGUUAGGGGAUCGAAGACGAUCAGAUACCGUCGUAGUCUUAACCAUAAACUAUGCCGACUAGGGAUCGGAUGAUGUUAAUUUUUUAAUGACUCAUUCGGCGCCUUACGGGAAACCAAA
rnacentral:rRNA from 1 species